CCGCCCUCCGCGCAGCUCCCUGAGCCGCCGUCUCGCGCCUCCUUGCGUCCUCCGAAUCCGCUCUCGCAGGGCUUACCGCGGGGCUCCCGCUUUUCGGGGCUCCCCUCGGCCAGCGCCGGAGGUGGCUGGCGCGUCCCCAGGUCCGCGCCUGGCAGCCUGACGGGACUGCUGGGGGUGACCGCCAUAGCGCCACGUGGCACUUGUUUGACAAAGGAAACUUUUUUCUCCCUCCCAAGUGCGGCAUUUCUGGUCCGAGCCACCGGCCGCCUUAUGCCUAUUGUAUUCCCUUACCCUGCCGAGCCAUCCUUUUCGCUUUCUUUGAGCUGUGUCCCAAACCUGGGCCGGGGUCCUGGCGCGAUAAAGAUACUGAGCCAUCAAAGGAAAAACGUCCACCUGAGAUCAUCCCCCAUCACCCCUCAUGUGAUGGAACGGAGAGUCACAAAACAGAGUAUAAUAACUGAAUACCCGAGACGAUCACCAGCAUUUCCAUUAUACGUCUGACAUCUCAGCUAACAGUUGCCGGCCUGGAACUCCUCUCCCCAGACAAAUCAUUUGUGAGCCCACUGCCCCCAUGAAGACACUGCCAGCUCAUGGAAAACCAUAGGGCACGCGUUCUAGCCCUGCUUCUAAGAGCCGAGUGACCAGCCGUGACAUUUUGCAAGCCGGUUAUUGAAGCUCAUGGUGAAAUUCCAGGCACUGUGGCAAACAGAUGACAGUUUGGGGAAGGGAAUCUGUUGGUGACACGGCAGGCAGUCAGUCGGCUGGUAGAUAAAGCCAGCCUUGCUUACUGACGCUUUCAGCUUGGAUGCAGGCAGGCUCCCUGAGGACGAUGAUUCAUUCCUGCACCUGGUACUGGUUAUUCCAGAUGCUGCCCUGAAAGAGGCCUGUUCCCUGUUCUUCGCUCCCACACCCAGAAAGAACAGGAGAUGGAAGAGAGUCGGCCUGGUGUAUUUAGAAGCCCGACUUCCCUGUAUGAUUGGAGGGCAGUGUUCUUGACCAAGACAAAAAAAAGAGAUGCAGCAAGAAAGAAAAGACAAGGAGAUGAUUUUACAAAUCUACUACAGGCAGGAAAUGUGCUUGGAGUAUUUUGAAGGGUUGGGUUAUUUUUGCAAUUGUAGGGAGAGUUUUCACUGACACAACCAUGGUCCGUCACCACGUCCGGGCAGGUGUGAGGCACUCCCUGUGCCUAUAGGAACAGAGUCACCCUCUCUGGGUAAGGCCGCAUGAUCCACGUGGGGCUCAGAACUGGGUCCUUCCCUGUCAACACCAUACUUUACAUAGCAAAGACAACUGGCUUAACUGCUCUGUGAAAAAUG